rnacentral:rRNA from 1 species
CAGUCGCCGCGGUAAUACGUAGGGCGCAAGCGUUAUCCGGAAUUAUUGGGCGUAAAGAGCUCGUAGGCGGUUUGUCGCGUCUGCCGUGAAAGUCCGGGGCUCAACCCCGGAUCUGCGGUGGGUACGGGCAGACUAGAGUGAUGUAGGGGAGACUGGAAUUCCUGGUGUAGCGGUGGAAUGCGCAGAUAUCAGGAGGAACACCGAUGGCGAAGGCAGGUCUCUGGGCAUUAACUGACGCUGAGGAGCGAAAGCAUGGGGAGCGAACAGGAUUAGAUACCCCAGUAGUCCCUGUCUCUUAUAC